GGAGACGUGUAGGUUAGAAAGGUUUUAAUUUUGGAAUUGGUUUUAUAAAUGACCGUUGGAAUUGGGAAGCCAGAAGGUUUGGGUCGGUGUAUUGGCGCAUAAAAUAUUACCUUCUCCACUCUUCCUUCUUCACUUCACUCAUCCCGCUUCGUUCUCCGAACACCGUCGGAGACGACUCAUCGCGACCUCUGUAAUUCAGCUCACCGGAGACACAAGCACCCCCACCCUUCGUAAGACACUCACAACCAUGUCGGAUAACUGGAGAAGUCAAGGCAAGAAACUAAAUUGCUACAGAAGUUCAAUUUGCUAAUGUUGUAUGCAUUGGAUGAUGGACAACCAAAUGUUGAGGAAACAAUGAGGAUUCAGACUUGUACUUAGAGCCAUCCAUCACCAAUAUAAAUAAAAUUAGAAACUAUUCCCAUCUACCAUGAAGCCUUUGAUCAUCUAUUACAUGCCUUUUGGUUGUUUCUUUAAAUGACACGGAUCCUAUCAACAGGUUUGUGGAUCUUUUUAACAUGAAUCAGUUACCCCUGCUUCUGAUCAUGAACUAAAUCCAUGGGAAUUGAAUCAUGUUGGCUUUUUGCUCAGCAAAGAGGAUGUGGAUCAUCAGAAGACACAAAUGUAUUUUCAAGAUCCUCUUCAAAAGAACUUUGUCUUCAUGGGAGCUUCCAAGAUCUCUCUCUUGCGAAUGGAACUUAGAAGAUACUUGAUACAGUUACUACUUCAGGUGUACAGACAUCAGGGAAGGGAAAUGCCACAUGGUGUGGUCUUUGGUGGGUUAAAAUGUUAGAAACAAGUGGUCAAUAUAAAGAGGGUGUUGGUGUUUAAGGUAAUAAUUCAAUUCUGUUUUUGUGAAUAAAAAUAAAAAUAUGAGAAUUUUGUGAAAAAACUUAAAUUUUUUGAAGGAACCUCUUUAUUUAGCUGUGAUGCUUGAACAGGGAUCUUAUUGUUGUUACCUUUUUAGCCAAACCAAUGAUAUUAAGAAAGUAUGGAUUUCAUCUCAUUCUUUCUGAUGAUCUUGUUAUUGCAACUUUUGUUAAUAUUUUAAUAGAUAAUUUUUAUUUAAUAUUUACUGAUAAUAGCAAUGUAUUUAUAGCUUUUCAUCCAAAAACAACAAUCGUUAACUUGAAGAAACUCUGAUUUUGGGGAUUAUGUUUUCAAAAACAGUCAAGAAGGAAAAGCUGGAGAAAAAUCUAAAUGACCAUAUACAGUGCCAAGGUAAAUAACCAAACCCUACGUUUGUAUGUUGUAGUUGAAUGUUAUUUAGAUGCUAAGCUAUAAAAUCUUAUAUUAAAAUAUUAUACUUUCAUAAUCUAACCUAUGAUAUGAAGACAUUGUAAUUUUAUUAUUUUUCCUAUUAGGUCACUGUACUUUGAAAAACUAAACAUGUUUGGUUUUGGAUACCAUUUAUAGCAUUAUAAAUUCAAAGUUUUUAUUGUGAAGAUAGUUUACUAUCAAAAUCUAACCAAUUGCCUGCAAAAUAAUACCCCAAAUCGUAAACUUAUAGUUUCAAAAUCCACCCUUUUAAGACAAUGUAGUUUUAAUACAUUCUACUUUAGAAUCUAAACUUGUUUAACCAUGGUUACCAAUUAUAACAUUAUACUUUAUAUUUAUUUUAUUUUUCAUAUUAAGACACCAUAGCUAUUCAUUAACAAUCAUUUUUUUAGUUUUUAACAGGCUUUGAGUAAUUAUAGUUCUCGUGUGUUAGUGAGUAAUAAAUACACUGUCAAAUUAUUCAUUUCUCUUAUUGGAAGUUGCAUCUUUCCACAUAAUUGAAUCUCACUCAAUAAAAUGUUUAAGUGAAUGAAGCUUCAUUGAUUUAAAUUUAGUCAUGUAAUGUUUUCUGUGUUGAUUUUCAUAUUAAAAAUAUUAAUUCAUUUUGAAUAAUGGCAACAAGAGAGGCAGAGAUGAAUCAUCAGAUGAUGCAGCAAGUUUCUUUACCAAUGAUGAUGGAUAUCACCAAAUUGGUUACGAUAACAACAACCCUCAAAACAUAUGUUAAAUUUUGAAGGGAAAUUGUGGGAAAUAACAAAUAAGGGUGUUCUUAUCAUUGAAUCUCAAAUAAGGUUAAUUAUGCCUUCAUGUUAGGAAAUUACCAUCUUCUAUCCACUGAUUACUAGCUGACAAAACAUGGAAGUGAUAUGCAGGUAGCUACGAGUCUAUGACCAUGUUUGUAUAUUUCCAGAAAUACCCCUCAUUUUCCUAAAACAUGUGCUUAUUUAUUACUUCGGGAAAUGGUGUGGUUUGUGGUGGGUUGAAAUGUUAAAAACAAGUUGGUGAUGUAAAGAGUGGACAACUAGGGUAAUUCGAGAAAAACUUCAAUUUUUUAGUUGAAGUUCUCCACUACUUUUGUCACUCUGAAAUCCAAUCAAUACCGAUGAAAUGCUUAAGAGCUUGGUCAGGUUGAGAUGAUUAUGUCUGAUAAAAGCAGGACUUUAACUUGUAACCAAAUGGAGUUCAGGAAAUGCUAAAGCAGCUAUUGCUAUCUCUGUAUCAGAAAUUACACAGAUGGAUUCGUUGAACUUACCUAAUUUUCCCUUAUACAUUUUCAUAUCUUUUUAUCAUUCUAAUGUUCUGAUUUGUUAAAUGUGCAGACACCUGAGAUUCUUCAUUUGUUAAAGCAGAUCAAGGAGAAGCUGAAAGAAGUUUGAUCAAAUGGUCUAGCAUUCCCUCUCUUUACUUCUAUAGUCAGGUUGCUGGUUUAUGUCCAAGAGCUAGGGAAUCUUUUUUCAAAUUUGGUCCUUAUUUCAUGGUUUCUCAAUCGCUUUUUGUACCUGGGUCAUCACCUAGAUGUUAAACAACAUGUCCUUAUCUUCGUCUCUUUCUUUUCCAUUUUCAAGGAGCAUGAUGAAAUUUCAACAAAAUUUCUCUCUUUCCGAAUAUGUUGCAGGAGCAUAGCUGAACACUAAAUCCUUAAAAAUAGUGUCUUUUUGAAAAUAUGGUACUCUCAUUUCAUUGUUUGAUAAUACUAUGUUUGGUCUCUUGUUCUCAACUUUACCAGCCCGUAUGUUAAAUUUAUGAUAAUGACCAUUUUGCCAAUGUCUUCUUCAUCUCUUCCAUUUCCAUGUUCAGGUAUCAUAAAUUACCCCCAACAAAAUUCAUCACUUUUCUUAAAAAUUAUAUGUCAUACGUUUAAGGAGCAUAAUUAUAUCCUAAUAAUCCCAGAAAAGAUUCUUUAAAAGAAAAACAUUUUUGAAAUUUUGGUACUCAUUUCAUGGUUCCAUAACGUUUUCCUUAAUGAGGAUUCAGACUGGUUAUUGCUGAUGUUGUGAUCAUAGUCACUUGGUUCGCUAAACUAGCCAUGAACUGCGAACUAGAUCGUUUCGAACUGGAUCGCGGUACAAAAGCGUACCAAUCACCGGUGGUUAGUGGUUCGCGAUCUGGAUCGUGAUUGAAGGCGUACCCGAUUUUGUACCAAGAGUCGGUGGGUCGAUGUAUCAGUUAUUUCUUAUUCGCGAUUUAAAUAGUCUGGGAACACGAACUCGCCAUGGCACCUUAGAUGCAUGGCUCGAUGUACCAUUAAUUAAUGACUUCAAUUCUCACCUUUCACAUUAUAUUAAUAGUUUGACUUCAAUUUUCAAUUUUCAGAUUAACAUUAAUAGUUCACUUCAUACGAAAAGUCAUUAUAACUAAUUUCUUAUUUCAAAUUUUAGUUCUACACUCUUAGUCACUGCAUAUACCGACUUCAUCAUCCUCAUCAGAACAUCCCAAUUCCAUAUUACUUUCUCAAUAUCGCAGUGGGAAAACUUAAUUAGUUGAAGAGGUUGUUGAUAAUGGGAAUGGAAAGACAAUGAGGAAAGACUAAUUUUGAUUAGUUAUGUGUCUUAAUUAUUUUGAAUUUUUUGAUGGUAUUUGUCUAAUGGGUUAUGUAUUAAAGAAUUUUAUCGAAUAAUUAAUAUUUGAUUAUUAAUAUCAAUAUAUUUUUGUUGGAGCUUGGAGUCUUGGACUUAAUGAUUUUUUAUGUGGUACAUCGUACCACUUUAAUUGGUACAUCAUACCGUAUCGAACCGAAAUGAACCUACCCCCUUUCGUACCGGAUUUUGGGGACCUAGCGAACUACGAACCGCGAACCCGUUCCUGAACCGGAGCGAACCCCGUUCCAUGUGACUAUGGUUGUGAUGCUAAAAACCUUCUCAGAUAUGUUCCAAGCCCUAGGUGAAGAAAUCAACUCUGUGAGACUCACUAUCGAUGGAUUCAGCGAGUCUGAGUGAGAGUGUGUAUUUUCUCACCACUGUUGACGGUGGUGCAGGUGAGCGGAGUGUGGUGUACAAGCUGCAAGUUGCUGCCAUGUUCGACCUAGAAAAGGCAUUCUCUCAACCAUAAAAACAUUUGUUCUUUCUCCAUCACCAUUCAAAUUUCUCAACCGCCUCAAUCAUCUCAUCUAAUUGUCUGUGUCUAUUGACACCAACUCUAUUCCUCUCUCCUGCACAUCAGCAGUCAUUAAUGGUUUGUUGUUUGUUCCGCUUCUGCUCUAUCUUUUCUUCUUGUAUGAAUAAUGAUUUUCCUUCAAAUGGUAGAUAAAAGAAACUUGUACA